AAAAGCUUUCUUUAAUUGAAUAAUUGAAUUUAAUUUUUUAGUGCAAAAGCAAAAAUAAAAAUUAGGGACAAGAAGACCCUAUGAAUUUUUUAUUAAAUUUUAUAAAACUUUAUAUAAAAUUUAAUUUAAUUGGGGUGAUGGAAAAAGAAUAAAUAUCUUUUUUUAAAAGAAAAUUGGUUCCGUUCUUAGCGAUUAAAUGAAAAAAAUACUCUAGGGAUAACAGCGUAAUAAUUUUGGAUAGUUCAUAUAGAUAAAAUAGUUUGCGACCUCGAUGUUGGAUUAGGAUUCUUUUUUGGUGAAGAAGUUAAAAAAA
rnacentral:rRNA from 1 species